GACGAACGCUGGCGGCGUGCUUAAAACAUGCAAGUCGAACGGGGUCCAACCUUCGGGUGAAGACCUAGUGGCGAACGGGUGAGUAACACGUGAGCAACCUACCCCAGAGACCGGGAUAAGCCAGGGAAACUUGGUCUAAUACCGGAUACUCUCAUCGGUUCUAUGGACUGAUGAGCAAAUUGGUUUUUCGCUUUGGGAUGGGCUCGCGGACUAUCAGCUUGUUGGUGGGGUAAUGGCCUACCAAGGCUUCGACGGUUAGCUGGUCUGAGAGGAUGGUCAGCCACACUGGGACUGAGACACGGCCCAGACUCCUACGGGAGGCAGCAGUUAGGAAUAUUGGACAAUGGGCGCAAGCCUGAUCCAGCCAUGCCGCGUGCAGGAUGAAAGUGCUAUGCACUGUAAACUGUC
rnacentral:rRNA from 1 species